GGAGCAGUAGCUGCGAUUUGUCAAGACCACUCUGGAGCUUACUUGGGGUCGUCCGCGGUGGUGUUUCGAGGAGUAAAUGAUAUGGUGAUCCUGGAAUCUUAUGCAUGUAGGGAGGGGCUUGCACUUGCAGAGGACCUGGAUAUUCAGCAACUACUGAUAGCAUCAGACUGCCAGAAUGUAGUCAAGGACAUAAAUCAGGGCACGGGAGGACCACAUUCGGCAAUUGUUCAUGAAAUAGUAGCUCGUAGAACUAGCUUCAGUUUCUGUAAUUUCGUUCAUGAGCAUAGGAGUCAUAAUUUUGAGACUCACAAUCUCGCCAAGUUUGCUUGUAACCUUGGCUUAGAUAGACAUGUUUGGUUGGGGGUUCCUCAUGACCCAAACCGUGUACCUAUGAACAUUUUUGAGCAUCAAUACAGACACAAGCGCUCAUAUACACGCGCAUACACUCACCCCUAUGAACGCACACACGCACACCCUACCCUUAUGAGCACCUCCGAGAGACUGAGCCGGCAUAUCAUCUUGAGAUUUACGAAGUCACCGUAG
rnacentral:rRNA from 1 species